rnacentral:tRNA from 1 species
AAGCAGUUAGUUUAAAAAAAACAAUUGAUUUCGACUCAAUAACUUGUGGUUAAACCCCGCAACCGCUUA